rnacentral:rRNA from 1 species
CGAAGUUUAGCCUUAGGUGGGAGCCAUGCGCCAAUGAAAAAACCACUAUUUGUUACGUCAUUUUACUUACUCCGUAAAGAAGUGAUCGGUUUACCGAUUCUAGAACUAAGGGUAGUUUACUGCCUGAGCUUUGCGGAAGACACGGUCAGGUGGGGAGUUUGGCUGGGGCGGCACAUCUGUUAAACAAUAACGCAGGUGUCCUAAGGUGAGCUCAAAGAGAACAGAAAUCUCUUGUAGACCAAAAGGGGAAAGCUCACUUGAUUUUGAUAUCCAGUACAUAUACAAACCGUGAAAGCGUGGCCUAUCGAUCCUUUAACUUUACAAGUAUUAAGCUAGAGGUGUCAGAAAAGUUAACCACAGGAUAACUGGCUUGUGGCUGCCAAGCGCUCAUAGCGACGUAGCUUUUGUAUCCUUCCGAUGUCGGCUCUUCCUAUCAUUGUGAAGCAGAAUUCACAACGUGUCGGAUUGUUCACCCGUUAAUAGGGAACGUGAGCUGGGUUUAGACCGUCGUGAGACAGGUU